rnacentral:rRNA from 1 species
AGUGAACGCUGGCGGUAUGCCUAACACAUGCAAGUCGAACGGCAACACAGUAAGAGCUUGCUCUUACGGGUGGCGAGUGGCGGACGGGUGAGGAAUACAUCGGCAUCUACUUUUUCGUGGGGGAUAACGUAGGGACACUUACGCUAAUACCGCAUACGACCUACGGGUGAAAGCAGGGGAUCUUCGGACCUUGCGCGAUUGAAUGAGCCGAUGUCGGAUUAGCUAGUUGGCGGGGUAAAGGCCCACCAAGGCGACGAUCCGUAGCUGGUCUGAGAGGAUGAUCAGCCACACUGGAACUGAGACACGGUCCAGACUCCUACGGGAGGCAGCAGUGGGGAAUAUUGGACAAUGGGCGCAAGCCUGAUCCAGCCAUACCGCGUGAGUGAAGAAGGCCUUCGGGUUGUAAAGCCCUUUUGUUGGGAAAGAAAAGCAGCAGGUUAAUACCCCGCUGUUCUGACGGUACCCAAAGAAUAAGCACCGGCUAACUUCGUG